rnacentral:snRNA from 1 species
UUCAAAAUACACAAGUUC